UAAAUAGAAGAUCGCUGACAAAACAGCACUCUGUUAUCUGCAUAUAUACAUACAUAUAAUAAAAGGUUCAUCCGAGUACCUACGCUCCAUAGAAGAAUCAAAUGUUCUAAGAGUAUGCAUGUUGCAUUACUUUAAUUAUCGUUCAACACUUAUCGUGUAGACGGAUUGAAAAUGUUGUAAGAGAAACGGAGUAGGCAGUUGAAGACAUAAAAUUAGCUACGCCAACAACGGGAUACACAUCACCUAUGAUUCAACCUCAACAGCAGAACCAGCAACAACCAGCAUUUUUCCCUGCAUUUCAAUGAAAUCUUUCCCUAAAUAGAGGCUGAUAAUAAUUGGACGCAUAUAAACGAAAUAGCUCGAAGUUGAAAACGGUCAGGGCUUAUUACAAACGAUCUAUUUAUUUAACAUAAACAAAUUUUCUAUUUUCUGGGUAAUAACAGUCUAAUUAUACAGGGUGCGACUGUAAGCAAUUGCAUAUAUUGUAAAUUUCAAAGUAAAAACGAUCGACGAUAUACAUAUAUAUAUAUAGAUAAAUCGUAUACUCAUGUGUUCACAUUUACGAGAGGAGUAUUCUUUAUUUCGGGAUUUCAUAUAUUUUAAACGAAGCAAUUUGUUGAUAUUCUAUCAAGCGUAUUUUUUCCACGUAAACUUAUUCAAAUGUCAGAAGGAAAUUUACAGUUUAGCGUACAUUGUACGUAGAUACAAUUAUUACGAGUGCUAUUAAAAUUAUACGGAUACUGUGAUAACAU